GCCUUCUUAGCACAGUGGUAGUGCGUCCCACUCGUAAUGGGGAGGUCGGUUGUUCAAUCCAGCCAGGAGGCA
rnacentral:tRNA from 1 species